GAUUUAUGCAUCAAUAGUGAAAACACCCUUUCUCCCAUAAGCAAAAAGAGAACUCAAAGGAGAUGGGAAGGGGACUGCCGUGAUAAUGGCGGCCAGAGGCGGCUCGCUGGUCAUCACUUCUGAUGAGAGAAGCGAUAAAGAAGAGGGGAAAAUAGAGAGAAGGAGGCGGUAGUGAUGGUGGAAAAAAGGACAGAGAGGUGGCGGGUUGGAGGUUCAGCUAGAGAAUUUAGAGGUGAUGAAGGUGUAGAGAUUAGAAAAUAGGUAGCAAAUAUCUUUUCUCUGAUUUUGGUUUUUGUACAUGUGUGUGUGGUGUAUAUGCGUUAGUGUGUGUAUUUGUGUCAAGAAAAAAAUAAUCCAACCCUUUCUAUUUAUUUAAAAUGAAAAUUGACCUCUGCCUUUACC
rnacentral:lncRNA from 1 species